CCUACGGGUGGCAGCAGUGAGGAAUAUUGGGCAAUGGACGAGAGUCUGAACCAGCCAAGUAGCGGGAAGGAUGACUGCCCUAUGGGUUGUAAACUUCUUUUAUAUGGGAAUAAAAUGUUCCACGUGUGGGCUUUUGUAUGUACCAUAUGAAUAAGGAUCGGCUAACUCCGUGCCAGCAGCCGCGGUAAUACGGAGGAUCCGAGCGUUAUCCGGAUUUAUUGGGUUUAAAGGGAGCGUAGGGGGAUUGUUAAGUCAGUUGUGAAAGUUUGCGGCUCAACCGUAAAAGUGCAGUUGAAACUGGCAGUCUUGAGUACAGUAGAGGUGGGCGGAAUUCGUGGUGUAGCGGUGAAAUGCUUAGAUAUCACGAAGAACUCCGAUUGCGAAGGCAGCUCACUGGACUGCAACUGACACUGAGGCUCGAAAGUGUGGGUAUCAAACAGGAUUAGAUACCCGUGUAGUC
rnacentral:rRNA from 1 species